AAAAGGCCGAUUCUGCUGCAUCGCACUGUGUGCAGUUCUGCAUGCCGUUGCUCCAUCGAUCGGCAAAGCAACACACUCCGCCGGCACACAUUUUAUGGUUGUAGCAAUCGGAGUCCGAGCUGCAGCUCUCGCCUGCAUUCUUCAAGGUGGAGCAAGCCCCGUUGCCUGAUGUGCAAAUUCCGCAGCCCUGAGCCACUGCUGUGUCGCUACAGCAAUAGUUCCCUUUGCAACUGUUUGACAGGCAUUCGUCGUUGUUGCCCCAACACCGUGAGCCCGCAUUGCCCUUCGCUCUGCAAUCGUAGGUACCAUCUCGGUACUGCGUUGCGCUGUCACAUAUCUGCCUGCAUCUGCCGUAAUAGAUCUCAUAACCCUCAUCGCACUCUGUACAAAAGGCCGAUUCUGCUGCAUCGCACUGUGUGCAGUUCUGCAUGCCGUUGCUCCAUCGAUCGGCAAAGCAACACACUCCGCCGGCACACAUUUUAUGGUUGUAGCAAUCGGAGUCCGAGCUGCAGCUCUCGCCUGCAUUCUUCAAGGUGGAGCAAGCCCCGUUGCCUGAUGUGCAAAUUCCGCAGCCCUGAGCCACUGCUGUGUCGCUACAGCAAUAGUUCCCUUUGCAACUGUUUGACAGGCAUUCGUCGUUGUUGCCCCAACACCGUGAGCCCGCAUUGCCCUUCGCUCUGCAAUCGUAG
rnacentral:lncRNA from 1 species